CUAGUGGCGGACGGGUGAGUAACGCGUGGAUAACCUGCCAUACACUGGGGGAUACCAGUCGGAAACGACUGCUAAUACCGCAUACGAUACGGAGUCGCAUGACUUUGUAUUGAAAGCCACGACGGUGUAUGAUGGAUCCGCGUCCGAUUAGCCAGUUGGCGGGGUAACGGCCCACCAAAGCGAUGAUCGGUAGCCGGACUGAGAGGUCGGCCGGCCACAUUGGGACUGAGACACGGCCCAGACUCCUGCGGGAGGCAGCAGUGGGGGAUAUUGGACAAUGGGGGGAACCCUGAUCCAGCCAUGCCGCGUGUGUGAAGAAGGCCUUUUGGUUGUAAAGCACUUUAAGCGAGGAGGAGGAGCUCUUGGUUAAUACCCAAGAUGCUUGGACGUUACUCGCAGAAUAAGCACCGGCUAACUCUGUGCCAGCAGCCGCGGUAAUACAGAGGGUGCGAGCGUUAAUCGGAUUUACUGGGCGUAAAGCGUACGUAGGCGGCUUUUUAAGUCGGAUGUGAAAUCCCUGAGCUUAACUUAGGAAUUGCAUUCGAUACUGGGAAGCUAGAGUAUGGGAGAGGAUGGUAGAAUUCCAGGUGUAGCGGUGAAAUGCGUAGAGAUCUGGAGGAAUACCGAUGGCGAAGGCAGCCAUCUGGCCUAAUACUGACGCUGAGGUACGAAAGCAUGGGGAGCAAACAGGAUUAGAUACCCUGGUAGUCCAUGCCGUAAACGAUGUCUACUAGCCGUUGGGGCCUUUGAGGCUUUAGUGGCGCAGCUAACGCGAUAAGUAGACCGCCUGGGGAGUACGGUCGCAAGACUAAAACUCAAAUGAAUUGACGGGGGCCCGCACAAGCGGUGGAGCAUGUGGUUUAAUUCGAUGCAACGCGAAGAACCUUACCUGGCCUUGACAUACAGAGAACUUUCCAGAGAUGGAUUGGUGCCUUCGGGAACUCUGAUACAGGUGCUGCAUGGCUGUCGUCAGCUCGUGUCGUGAGAUGUUGGGUUAAGUCCCGCAACGAGCGCAACCCUUUUCCUUAUUUGCCAGCGAGUAAUGUCGGGAACUUUAAGGAUACUGCCAGUGACAAACUGGAGGAAGGCGGGGACGACGUCAAGUCAUCAUGGCCCUUACGGCCAGGGCUACACACGUGCUACAAUGGUCGGUACAAAGGGUUGCUACCUAGCGAUAGGAUGCUAAUCUCAAAAAGCCGAUCGUAGUCCGGAUUGGAGUCUGCAACUCGACUCCAUGAAGUCGGAAUCGCUAGUAAUCGCGGAUCAGAAUGCCGCGGUGAAUACGUUCCCGGGCCUUGUACUCACCGCCC
rnacentral:rRNA from 1 species